rnacentral:rRNA from 1 species
GACGAACGCUGGCGGCGUGCUUAACACAUGCAAGUCGAACGGUGAAGCGCCUUCCUUUUUGGUGGGUGUGGAUGAGUGGCGAACGGGUGAGUAACACGUGAGUAACCUGCCCCCUUCUUCUGGAUAACCGCAUGAAAGUGUGGCUAAUACGGGAUAUUCUGGGUCUGUCGCAUGAUGGGUCUGGGAAAGAUAUUGUUUCGGUGGGGGAUGGGCUCGCGGCCUAUCAGCUUGUUGGUGGGGUGAUGGCCUACCAAGGCGGUGACGGGUAGCCGGCCUGAGAGGGUGGACGGUCACACUGGGACUGAGACACGGCCCAGACUCCUACGGGAGGCAGCAGUGGGGAAUAUUGCACAAUGGGCGCAAGCCUGAUGCAGCGACGCCGCGUGAGGGAUGGAGGCCUUCGGGUUGUGAACCUCUUUCGCCAGUGAAGCAGGCCUGCCUCGUUUGUGGGUGGGUUGUCGGUAGCUGGAUAAGAAGCGCCGGCUAACUACGUG